GAGAAUCCGAAGCCUUGGUAGGCAUCUGCAGCGCCUGUGUGAUAAAAUUAUAGAAGAUAGCUCACAUUAACUUCUAUAGCUUGAAUACCUAUCACGGUUUCUUUCAUUAAUAUUUCUUCCACCAUAAUUGUAGGACCUCUGAAGCAAACUCUCUGGAUAAGGUGUACGGUAUCGACAUGCAAAGCAAUAAAGUGAAGCCACGUCCUUUCCUAAUGCGCUUGGAAGUGCCAUUCGGAGACUGGCUUCCCGAUAAAACCUGUCUAUUGUUACAAUAAGAAGGUUCAGGGGCUUUGUGGGCAAGGUUACGCAAUAAGCUCCUUGAAGACCUUCCCUGGCUUAGCUCACAGACUUCCUAAAAGGACUUCUACCAUCACUUAUGAAAUCUUGGACUUUAGGGAACUCUUUUAGCACUCGUGCUUCGGCUACUCCUAUGGCUGUUGUUGGGCCUUCUUUUGGGGCUCGGCAUUGCACUUCU
rnacentral:misc_RNA from 1 species